GAAUAAGAAGCAUAUAUAAAAUGCAUUUAAUUUCGACUUAAAAAAUAGAGUUUUUUCUCCUUAUUUA
rnacentral:tRNA from 1 species